AGGAAAAAGAAACCAAACGGGGGAUUCCCAUAGUAACUGCGAGUGAAAGGGGAAAAGCCCAGCGCCGAAUCCUGCCGCUGGAGACGGUGGCAGGAACUGUGGCGUGAAGAUGGUGUCUAUCGGUGUGGCUUGCUCGCGUAAGUUCUCCUGAGUGAGGCUCCAUCCCAUGGAGGGUGCAAGGCCCGUGUCGUGAGCAGCCGUCACCGAUGUGCGCUAUCAGAGAGUCGCCUUGUUUGCGAGUACAAGGUGAAGUCGGUGGUAAACUCCAUCGAAGGCUAAAUAUGACCACGAGUCCGAUAGCGAACAAGUACCGUGAGGGAAAAUUGAAAAGCACUUUGAAGAGAGAGCGAAACAGUGCGUGAAACCGCUCAGAGGCAAGCAGAUGGGGCCUCGAAGGCAGAGCCGCGAAUUCAGCCGGUGGUCCGUGCGGUGGGUUGGGAUUGGAGAUCGCAAGACUCUGCCUGGCUUACUUGGUGCGGCUACCGGUGCACUUUCGCGGCUUGUACGCCACCGCCGUUAAGGAGCGUCCGCCGGGCCUGCGUGUGGAGCCUAACUGUCUUCGGGCAGUUGGUGUCUCACUGCGAGUCUGUGCGCGAUCGCGCUUUAACCGGUCAUGUCAGCAUGUGCCAGCGUUUGCGCUGGGUCAGCCGGCUCCGGUUGGGCUGUAUGGGGAUGUCGAGCCCGC
rnacentral:rRNA from 1 species